GCUUCUUGUCCACAUAGGAGAAAAAAAAUCUCACCCUCCCUCCCUUCUCCUCCCCUCUGCUCCGACAGACAUCGCUUUCCUCGUGCGGUGGCACGCUGCUCAACGGUGGGCACAAGGGAUCUAUCUAGGCCACGAAGGUAGACAGCGGCGGCGGCAGCACACGAGAGGUGCAACGGCGGGUGCACGGUGACGGCACACCCCUCAAGGCUUGAUGUUCUGCGGCGCCUGACCUCUUCCAAUUGCGCCUGACCUCUUCGUGUUCUGCCGCCCCUCAAGGUGAUGCGUUCAUGAGGUAAAAAUUAGUUCUUGAUAUUAGAAUUUUUCCUUCUAGCACAUAUAUUUUCUUUUCUUUGUUAAGGAUCUCAUUGUUGUUUUGUCUUCUCAAGCUGCGGGAUUCCGAUGGAGCGGUGUGAUGUUGCUAGGAAGAAUGGAAGUUGUUGUUUCAUGAAUUCCAGAUGUGGAAAUUGCUUCUUCUCUAGGCUACAUCAUAACUAGCGAUAAAUAAUUGACUCUGGUAUAUUGUCGUAUAUCAGGAUAUACUAACUUAAAAAACAUAGUCCUAUGCAUGCAUAACUUCUUGGACUGUUAACGUUUUGCCAUUGUCCGUUAGUCCAUCACCAUACUGAGAGCACGAUGCAGCAUCUGAAUUUUGUCAUGACAAUAAUUUAAUUCAGCAUUUUAGUUGUUAUCCCUUUAACUGCUUCCCAAUUUUAGGAGUCCUCAGCUUUGUACUAGGCACAAAUAUUCCAUUAAAAUCUUCUACUUAUGUAUUUGUAAUGAUUUCCCAAUGAUUUUGCGAGAGCUUAUAUAAAAGGCUUAAAGCUGCAAUUUUGGCAUAUGUCAAGCCAACGGAAGCAUUGUAUCUUGAAGUUUCGCUUCAUACCGUUGUUUACUUUCUAUGUAAAAUCUUGGUUUAUGGGCUUAGUAAAAGAUUAAAAUUGACUACUCUUGUGAAUUUUGAUUGUUCAACUAAAACUUCCAUUUUCUGCAUGAUAAAGGGAUGAUACUCUCAAGAUGUAGCUCAA
rnacentral:lncRNA from 1 species